CGCAAUGCAUUUUAAUGUUCAUGGUACACAUCAUUAGUCAUUGCCAUAAUUUUAUUACACAUAGAUUUUAUGCAAUUUACAUCAACUCUUUCAGGCUCCUUUACAGCCACGUCACAUUAACUUCACAGAACCCAUCAGUCCACUGCAAACUCAUCAACACUAGCAUGGCGCUCUUUGGCCAUGCCUGGCCCUUUUGCACCAUUUAACAUCAAACAUUCAUUCAUUCAUUAAUCUUCAGCUCCAUCUAAUGCAUUAUAAAUGCCACACGUACAGCAAACUGGAAAAUGGUGCGCACAAAUUAAAGCAGAAAAAGAAAAUGUCCAUUCAAUAGCAGUGCGGCUAGCUGCCUUGCAAUGAGUUUUUUUUAUAGUAAGAAAUUUGAUGUUGAGUGGAAUCGGUUAGGAUUGUAACGUGCAUGCAAAUUUCAAUUCACUUUUUAGCCAAGAAAGCUGUGUGGUAGAAUCAUGCAAAUACGGUACUGCAUGGUGCACAUGUGGUUUUUGAAUGUUUAGGAGCAGAUAACGCAGCAGUGGCCUCGCAUUUCUUGAUGUUACACAAGCCAUGCCAGAAUGGCAGUCACUGUCGGUGAAAGAUGUGUGCCAAGAUCCCCCUCUUUUAUGUGUGUGUGACCAGAUUGGCCCAUCUACUCCCAGUUACAAUGAUAAACUGAGAAUAGUUGGACAACCGCACCAUAGCUUCUUUAAGAGUGCAUGUGCUCAGUAGCAGCAGUCUCGGCCCUUACCGACAAGAAAUACAUAACCUAUAUGACCAAGUUAGCAAAAAAAGGAAUUAUAAAACAAUCCCAACCUAGUAGUGUUUAUGCAACGAAACUUGCUUUGUGAGACAAUAAGACAUCAUUACAGGUUCACUUUUGUGGGCAAAGAAAUGACCAAAGUGAUUAAAACAUGCAUAACAGACAAUGAAGUGCACCAUAAAAUAUAAAUGUAGACUCUUUUGACAAAGCCUCACCAUACGUUAGUUUCUCUUUUUACCUUUAUAAAAAGGCAACUUUACACAUAUUUCUUAAAUUGCAUGAAUAAAAGCUGGACACUUGGCACACGAAUCUGUGUGAAAAAUAUGCUGCACCAUUUGUGUACCGGCCAAGUUACACAGCAACAAACAGCCUCAUCUAAUCACUGCCUGUGCAGAACACACAGAAGCUACACUCAGCUGGAAAACCCAAUGUUCUUCGGUUCUUUCUUCAGUGGUCUAGUUCCUUCCUUCAGUCUAGAGGAGAAAGGAGAAUCCAAAUAUUCAGAACUCAUAUUCAUAUUGUCGAAACGAGCUUAAGCAAUGCGCCGCUUGUACUGUGCUGGUGAUAAUUUUUUAUGCAGUGAUGUUUUUCAUAGUGUCCCAUAAGGUGAAUGAGUGAACCCAAAGGAGCCUUAGGGUGCCUAAACACACACAUGCAGCACAUCACCGUGGCCAAUGAGAUAGGUGGCUGCAGUAUGCUUUCAUUACAUUUGUGUAAAUUCGGCCAGCAUAUUUGUGAUGGAAGUGUGCCAUGCUGCAGGCAAGUGGCCAUCAUGGAUCUUUAAUAGCAAUUCAUGCUCUAAACACCACGAAGUGGCAGUUGGUCCGUGAAGGACAAUGUAGUGGGGAUUCCAGAUUAAUUUUGACCUGGGGCUCCUUAAAGAUGCACCUAAACCCGAGUACACAUUAAAUAUUUCUCCAUUCUACCCUCAUUGGAAUGCAGGUGCCAUGGCUGGGAAUCAAACUCGCAACCUUGUGCUCGGCACACAUUGGUGCAUAACGCAGCCUUUUCUACAUUGCCAUGGAGGAAGCAAAGACGGAGACAGUGACCAGCCUAGGUGACUUUGCAGCACGCUUUGAAGUGGGAUGUACAACACAGAUGGAAAGUCAGACAUGAAACAAGGAAGCAACAUGACCCAGCAUAUUUGUUACAAGUGACUUUUUAUUUUCUUUGGGACCUCGAACCCCGAGGCACCCGACGCAACAAAUCUACAUUUCUCUUCCACAAGUACUUUUGUUUUGUAUUCUCUUUCCUCAUAAAUAAGACGCGAUGCACCUAGACGACGCGAUAUCAGCUUUGGUCUAAAAACCCUCAGUACGAGGCAAAUUACAGAGAAAGCAGCAGAGAGGGAGACCUGGACGAGACACCAAGAGAGAGUGCGUGGCUCAAGCACCACAGUGUGCGCUCCUGAGGACUGCACAAAUGGUUACACUGAAGUAUUUUAUAGACCAGUAUUGGCUUGAAGGAAUGUCAAAGUAUUCUUGUUGGCGUUGUAGAUUUUGCCAAUGUAUAGCGAAUGAAAAAAGAAAA